AGUGAACGCUGGCGGCAUGCCUAACACAUGCAAGUCGAACGGCAGCACAGUAAGAGCUUGCUCUUACGGGUGGCGAGUGGCGGACGGGUGAGGAGUACAUCGGAAUCUACUUUUUCGUGGGGGAUAACGUAGGGAAACUUACGCUAAUACCGCAUACGACCUACGGGUGAAAGCAGGGGAUCUUCGGACCUUGCGCGAUUGAAUUAGCCGAUGUCGGACUAGCUAGUUGGCGGGGUAAAGGCCCACCAAGGCGACGAUCCGUAGCUGGUCUGAGAGGAUGAUCGGCCACACUGGAACUGAGACACGGUCCAGACUCCUACGGGAGGCAGCAGUGGGGAAUAUUGGACAAUGGGCGCAAGCCUGACCCAGCGAGACCGCGUGGGUGAAGAAGGCCUUCGGGUUGUAAAGCCCUUUUGUUGGGAAAGAAAAGCAGCAGGUUAAGACCACGCUGUUCUGACGGUACCCAAAGAAUAAGCACCGGCUAACUACGUG
rnacentral:rRNA from 1 species